CGUCAACCCCCUUUACCUCCAAAUGUACCUCAAAUCUUUAUGUUUGAGUGUGACUCACAAAUAUUGCUUACAAAGUGUAGCUUCACACCACAUGCUCUAGAUGUCAGUGUUUGCUUGUGUCACAGUUCCUGUUGCCACCUCUGGUUGCUAUAACUCCUGAUAUAUGAAUUGUAAAAGCCACAGAAAGUUUAGCAUCGACUGUGAACAGUUGUGAAAGGCCAAGAGAGACAGGAUUCAAAUCUCUCUUAUUUGAUGCAGAGAGUAACAUGGCCAGUGCCAGUAACUUGUGAUGACAGCUUCAUAUCAAAUUAAUCCAUGGCAGCUUGCUACGUGACAGUGCCAAAGCUUUGUAUACAAUUGAACAAAUAAUGCACGCAAACUUUUCAAGGAGGAUGAGAGAAGAUUCAUCGACAGCUCCGAACGAUGGGGGGAACGAUUCUGUGUGCUGACAGUGAAGCUGGCGGCUUUUAUUUAAAACAAACUUCCCCUCAGUGAUCCAUGGUUCCUCUCUGAGACAUGGACAGAAGAGUCAUGUUUGGUGUUUGUUGUUAAUCUCUCCCUGUGCAGAACUCCAGAGCGAGGAUCCUCAGAGUGUUCCAAGCUGGGGAUUCAGACUUUGUGGCCGCAGCCUGUGCAGAGGCAGAUAGGCCUGCCUGUUUUAUAUGUAAAGCUGCCAGCCAGAAAGCACGGGCCCGCAGGGUACUCCGCACAACUCCUUUGUUGCAGCCAAACUGUGACGGGGUCCCACUGUCUAAGCUGCUUCGCAUUCUGGGAGCACAAGCGAUGGGAAGGACACUAAGGAUGGUGACACAGCAGGCAUUAGCGCACCUCUCUCGCUCUCGUCCUGGCUACCACCGCCCCCUGCUGUUCGCCAUGGCGAAGCUUGGUUCAGUUUGUCCUUGUUCUUCUUCGUCCCAUGAAUCUUGCAUGCAGUGGAUAUUUUGA
rnacentral:lncRNA from 1 species